AUUCUGCCCAUGCGAGGAAGGAUGAGAAGCUUCGACUAAGGUUCGGCUCGAACGUCAGCGAGAGAGCGUUGCCGCAGGCAACGACCCGAAGGGCGAAGCGCGCAGCGCUGAGUAAUCCUUCCCCCACCACCA
rnacentral:sRNA from 1 species